CAGGUCUGGGUCUGACGCGUCACAGUAGUGGCAUGAGCGCGUUGAGCCAGUCUGCAUGCAGUAGUCCUCAGGUGGGGAACCGCACACAUUUGAUGUUACCACAGAACGAUUGAAGGCAAUAUUCUCAAACUUGGGCAUGCAACGGCUUGGGGCACCGUCCUCAUCGUAGCAGGAGUCCAUUGCAGCCCAAACCAGGAGGUGGCAGUGUGGAUGGAGAGAGAGUAUAAAGACGAAUCAAUUGGUAUACUGGAUGUCUGUGUAGCUCCUACGGGUCGGCCAGUAGAGGCCGAGAAAGACCGCCUCCCCCAAAGCAACUCUUCAUCUCUCCUUCAAUUUGAGGAGAGAAACGAAACCUACCAGCUCUCUGACCUCGCCAAGAUGGUGGCCCGCGGUGAAGUGCUCUAUUGACACAGAAUAACAGCUGUACAAAAUGUCCUGUAAUCUGAUGUGUCAGUCCUGUUGAAUGGGAUCUGAAGCAGCUGGCCACACCGCGGUCCGAUCUCGUCAUACAAGGUGCAUCAUCUCUGGGACUCGCUCGCCAUCUGCAUCCAGCAAAGAGUUGACAUCUAAGCUGCAAUCCAGGGUCUCAAAAACCAGUCUGCACGUAUAGUGCAGAAUAAAUCAGACAAAUCAUCACAGUCAAUGUUCUUCCAAUAAGAUCUCAUCCCGUUUGUCAAAACUCAAUGUCAUCACCCUGUUGUCUAGGGACUCUUCUUAAGUUUUACAUUGUUAUAACAUUACCAAAGAUUUAUAACUUUACCAGGUAGCAUUUAAGCAAGACAUCACUACUAUGAAUUUUUAUCUUUUUAUCAAAUACAAUCAUUAAGCACAUCAUUGAUGAGCUGGUAGUGAUAGAUGAUUUGUCUCAGAGAAACUGUACCAGACUAGAAAGAAUACAACAUGUAUAAAUAUGUUUAUAAAUGACUUACUAAUGUGUAUUAACAUAAGAACAAUGGUUUAUAAAUGAUGAAUUAAAAAUGCACUAAUACUUAACAACUGCUUCAUAGUGUGUAGAUAAGAAAGAAUAAAACAUUUAUAACUGUGUUUAUGAAAGACUUACUAAUGUGUAUUAAUGUAUGAAUAAUGCUUUAUAAAUGAUGAAUUCCGUAUUUACGAAUACUUAACUAGUGCUUUAUACUGUGUAGUUAUUAUAAAGUGCUACCAACAAAAAUAAGGUUCUGAGUGAUUAAAGGUGCUAUAUAAGGUGCUAUAUAAGGUCAACUGUAUUUUGGAUUGCCCAAUUGUAUUCAAUUCUGUGUCAGUUUUGUCUAUUCAUAUGAACUGAUCAAGGUGCUAGCAAUUCAAAUGUCAACAGGGCAGCUGUGGUGGAGCACGCAUGAAUAAAUCAUAUGUUGUAAGUGUA